CUACGGGGUGCUGCAGUGGGGAAUAUUGGACAAUGGGGGAAACCCUGAUCCAGCAAUGCCGCGUGUGUGAAGAAGGCCUGCGGGUUGUAAAGCACUUUCGGUUGGGAGGACUGCUUCUAGCACUAAUAUUGUUGGAAGUUGACGUUACCUUCAGAAGAAGCACCGGCUAACUCCGUGCCAGCAGCCGCGGUGAAUACGGAGGGUGCAAGCGUUAAUCGGAAUUACUGGGCGUAAAGCGCGCGUAGGCGGCUAGAUCAGUCGGGUGUGAAAGCCCCGGGCUUAACCUGGGAACUGCAUCCGAUACUGUCUAGCUUGAGUACAGGAGAGGAGAGUGGAAUUCCACAUGUAGCGGUGAAAUGCGUAGAUAUGUGGAGGAACACCAAUGGCGAAGGCAGCUCUCUGGCCUGAUACUGACGCUGAGGUGCGAAAGCGUGGGGAGCAAACAGGAUUAGAUACCCCGGUAGUC
rnacentral:rRNA from 1 species